rnacentral:rRNA from 1 species
ACGCUGGCGGCAGGCUUAACACAUGCAAGUCGAACGGUAACAGGAAUUAGCUUGCUAAUUUGCUGACGAGUGGCGGACGGGUGAGUAAUGCUUGGGAAUCUGGCUUAUGGAGGGGGAUAACUACGGGAAACUGUAGCUAAUACCGCGUAAAAUCUUCGGAUUAAAGGGUGGGACUUUCGAGCCACCUGCCAUAAGAUGAGCCCAAGUGGGAUUAGGUAGUUGGUUAGGUAAAGGCUGACCAAGCCGACGAUCUCUAGCUGGUCUGAGAGGAUGACCAGCCACACUGGAACUGAGACACGGUCCAGACUCCUACGGGAGGCAGCAGCGGGGAAUAUUGCACAAUGGGGGGAACCCUGAUGCAGCCAUGCCGCGUGAAUGAAGAAGGCCUUCGGGUUGUAAAGUUCUUUCGGUGACGAGGAAGGUUGAUAGGUUAAUAGCCUAUCAAAUUGACGUUAAUCACAGAAGAAGCACCGGCUAACUCCGUGCCAGCAGCCGCGGUAAUACGGGGGGUGCGAGCGUUAAUCGGAAUAACUGGGCGUAAAGGGCACGCAGGCGGUGACUUAAGUGAGAUGUGAAAGCCCCGAGCUUAACUUGGGAAUUGCAUUCCAUACUGGGUCGCUAGAGUACUUUAGGGAGGGGUAGAAUUCCACGUGUAGCGGUGAAAUGCGUAGAGAUGUGGAGGAAUACCGAAGGCGAAGGCAGCCCCUUGGGAAUGUACUGACGCUCAUGUGCGAAAGCGUGGGGAGCAAACAGGAUUAGAUACCCUGGUAGUCCACGCUGUAAACGAUGUCGAUUUGGGGAUUGGGCUUUGAGCUUGGUGCCCGUAGCUAACGUGAUAAAUCGACCGCCUGGGGAGUACGGCCGCAAGGUUAAAACUCAAAUGAAUUGACGGGGGCCCGCACAAGCGGUGGAGCAUGU